CAGGGAGACAACAAAUGAUUGUGAUGUCUAGGUAAAUUUAUUCCUAGGCCAUAGUCCUGUCACCUUAGGUCGAUCGGUACCUCAGAUUUAUGAAUUAAUUUUUUUAUAAUUAAUACAUUUAUUUCAGUUCCUAAACUUGUCUAGGUCACACUCAACAAGGGUUUCUCCUGGGCCAUUAGCUCAGGUGGUUAGAGCGCACCCCUGAUAAGGGUGAGGUCCCUGGUUCAAGUCCAGGAUGGCCCAUUCGUUGUUGGGGGUAUAGCUCAGUUGGUAGAGCGCCUGCUUUGCAAGCAGGAUGUCAGCGGUUCGAGUCCGCUUACCUCCACUGAAAACUACCCUGAUAACUUAAUUUCAGGAGAAAAAUUAUUAAUUGUGAUCUAGAUUUGUCUAUUUGAAAUGAACCUAGCUUCUUAUCAUCUAUAAAGUUGAUAUGAUGCUGGGCUCACAAAGGGUUCAUCCCCUUUAGUGAUUUCAGUAGAACCUUGACAACUGCAUAGGUGGAAAGAAUAAAGCAUCUCAUGGAUGCAUAAUUCUUAAUCGAAAAGUCAAAGCGACUUUUUGCGAUUAAGAAUUCAUGUUUAAUUCUUGAGUAAAAGCCGAGCACAAUUAAUUUUGUGAUUGUAUUUAA
rnacentral:tRNA from 1 species